GACGUAGGGGGCGAGCGUUGUCCGGAAUUACUGGGCGUAAAGGGCGUGUAGGCGGCCUGGCAAGUCAGUGGUGAAAAACCUGGGCUCAACCGAGGUAUUGCCAUUGAAACUGCCUGGCUUGAGGGUAGAAGAGGAGUGUGGAAUUCCCGGUGUAGCGGUGAAAUGCGUAGAGAUCGGGAGGAACACCAGUGGCGAAGGCGGCACUCUGGUCUAUACCUGACGCUGAGGCGCGAAAGCUAGGGGAGCAAACAGG
rnacentral:rRNA from 1 species